GGUCUGUUAGUCUAGAGGUUAGGACGUUGGAUUUUGAUCUGCUUUCGUUAGUAAUCAUCUUCUUCCAAAGACAUGGGUUCAAUUCCCGUACGGACCU
rnacentral:tRNA from 1 species